GACAGAGGCCUCGAGCGUUAGGCGGAAUCACUGGGCUUAAAGCGUGUGUAGGUGGAUGCCUAAGUACCUUGUGAAAUCCCACGGCUUAACCGUGGAACUGCUUGGUAUACUGGGUGUCUUGAGUCACUCAGGGGCGAGCGGAACAAAUGGUGGAGCGGUGAAAUGCGUAGAUAUCAUUUGGAACGCCAAUGGUGAAAACAGCUCGCUGGGGGUGCACUGACACUGAGACACGAAAGCCAGGGGAGCGAACGGG
rnacentral:rRNA from 1 species